rnacentral:tRNA from 1 species
ACCUGGGUGGCUCAGUUGGUUAAGCGUCUGACUUCAGUUCAGGUCAUGAUCUCACGGUUCGUGGGUUCGAGCCCCACCUCAGGCU